CCCUCUCGGAGAAUGAGCUGAGAGAACGGACCGACGGUGAGGGACGAAAGCUAGGGGAGCAAAGGGGAUUAGAUACCCCCGUAGUCCUAGCUGUAAACGAUGCGGGCUAGGUGUUGGGUUGGCUUCGUGCCAACCCAGUGCCGCAGCGAAGGCGAUAAGCCCGCCGCCUGGGAAGUACGGCCGCAAGGCUGAAACUUAAAGGAAUUGGCGGGGGAGCACCACAAGGGGUGAAGCCUGCGGUUUAAUUGGAGUCAACGCCGGGAAUCUUACCGGGAGCGACAGCAGGAUGAAGGCCAAGCUGACGACUUUGCCAGACAGGCUGAGAGGAGGUGCAUGGCCGUCGCCAGUUCGUGCCGUGAGGUGUCCGGUUAAGUCCGGCAACGAACGAGACCCCCACCCUAUGUUGCUAGGUCCUCUCUACGGAGGGGACCGCACACGUAGGGGACCGCCAGUGUUAAACUGGAGGAAGGAGGGGGCUACGGCAGGUCAGCAUGCCCCGAAUCUCCCGGGCCACACGCGGGCUGCAAUGGCGAGGACAGCGGGUUCCGACCCCGAGAGGGGAAGGCAAUCCCUUAAACCUCGCCGUAGUUGGGAUUGAGGGCUGUAACCCGCCCUCAUGAACAUGGAAUCCCUAGUAACCGCGUGUCACCAUCACGCGGUGAAUACGUUCCUGCUCCUUGUACACACC
rnacentral:rRNA from 1 species